UCCAACAAAAUUACUCGCGUCUCAUUUAUUCACACACUCACUCACGCUCAGACUCAGUAGAGAAAGAACCCUAAAAUUCCAUCACUGCGAUGAACUUUGCUUUUUUCCCUCCCCGUCAAAGAGGUCUUAAGGGAUUUGAAGGGUCAUAGAGCUACUUUGAUUAAAGCCCUCAUCAUUGAUUCUUACUACUACGUCUUUCUUUCUUCUUAUCCUUUUUUCCAUUUCAAAUUUUAUUUUUUCUUUUUUUUUCUUUACUUUGACAUUAGAGAUCUUUUUUUUUCACCUUGUUUGUUCAUCUCACUUCUAAUUAAGGAACAAGCUUUCCGCAGUUGAACACCCUAGCUAGCUAGUUUCCACCAAUUUGAAUCAGCAAUGGGUCACUCUUUCUGUAACGUCAAAGUUCUAUCUGCUUUUGUCGCCGACGGAUUCUUGCUUUAACAGGGUAAUAUUAGCUAGCUACCUAACUCACUUUACAAUGUUGUGAAUCCCGUCAAGAAAACCCUAAUUCGCUCGCAGUCACACAAGAGGCCAAUCCAAUUCAUAGUUCGAUGGGUGAAGAUGUGAAGGUAGUUGUUCCAGAAUCAGUGUUGAAGAACCGCAAGAAGGAGGAGGAUUGGGCAUUGGCCAAGAAUGAAGAACUCGAUGCUACCAAGAAGAAGAGAGCCGAGAGCCGCAAACUCAUCUACAACAGAGCUAAGCAGUAAGCUAAGGAGUACGAUUACCAGGAGAAGGAAUUGAUUCGGUUGAAACGCGAGGCCAAGCUGAAAGGUGGUUUCUAUGUGGAUCCAGAGGCUAAGCUGUUGUUUAUUAUUGGCAUUCAUGGGUAUGUGUUUCUACUUAGACUGA